rnacentral:pre_miRNA from 1 species
AGCCUUCUGUAUCCGUGCUGAGAUUUCGUCACACACCAGACCACAAAGGAUGAUCAAACUUCCCAGAUAAGUGAGGCG